UAAUUAUCAAAUUUAUUUAAAAGUAAAAUACUUGCUUAAAAUUUUAAGUGAAUAUUUUAACUUUAUUUAACUUUCAUGAAAAAAAUAAUAAUCUAUAAGUAAAAUAUCAUUUAUGAGUAAAAAUUUUUUAUACAAGAAACUAAAAAAUGAAAAUUUCACUAAGCUAUAUGUAAUUUUUUUUAAAAACUUUUAGAAUCGAUGAAUAAUAAUUUUUCAAGCAUGAAUUAGAUGAUUUUAAAAAUAAAUAUUAAAAUCACUUCAAAUCGGUAUGUUCAUAGCGCUCAUAAUGGAUGCUCUGAAAAAGGCUCAAAACUAGUAUCCCAAAACUUCCAAGCAGGCCCUAAGGGAUAACUCGCUGCCUCUCUCUUUUGGGAGCCUGAUUUUGUAUAGUGUAAUUUGGAUUGUAUUUUUCAGUCCACCAAAUUGAUGAUUUUUUUUAAUCAUUUCUUAAUUUUCUUUUAAUUUUACAAGACAAAAAUUCAACUAUACACAAAAAUUACUUAUAAAUAAAAAAUUACAUAACUAGAAAAAUUACUUAUAAACCCAAAAAAAAAAAAAAUGGUAAAAAAUUGAAUCAAAGUAAGUAAUUAAUUGUAACCAUACAUGUCAUGAUCAAAUUCACAACUUUUAUCAAUUUUCAACCAUACAUUUCAUUAAAUUUUAUCUAAAUUUAUUGAAAAUCUAAUUUUUAAUAAAACCAAACAUGGGCUAAAAUCACAACCAAUUUAGCCCCCGUUAGACAAAGCUUUUUGGGGGAUUACCGGUUGGUAUAUCUCAUAAAAUGUGUGAUUAAAAAAUGAAUAAAAAUUGUGGAUCUAACAAAAUGUGUGAUUAAAAAUGAAAUUUGACUAUUUAAAUAUAAAAAAAAAUUAGCAAUAAUUUAUAAAUGCGUAUCAAAUGAAGAUAGAAGUAGUGCCUAAUAUGAAAUAAAAAUAAAUAUCAGUAAUUAAUAAUUUGGAACAAAAAAGUUUGAUCAACAUUAUAAGCAUCCUCAUAGGAUAAAAUUAAGGAAAACCCUUAUGUACCUAUAGACCAACUCUAAAAUUAAUUACCCUUUAUAUUCAGGCGGGCCCCCCUCAUGUGAGGGUGUGGACACCAUUGUGUACCAACCCUUAUGUACCUAUAGACCAACUCUAAAAUUAAUUACCCUGGUGGAUGGAGAAUGGUCCGAAUGGACCACAAGUUAGUACUGAGCUUACUCCGAGAUUUGAGACCUCGGUAUAUGGACCGCAAGUUAGUUUGAAUUUUCUUUGAGAAUCACUACUAAAAAUCAGUUUUUUCACCUACGGAUAUAAUCCGUUGAUAAUUAGAAACGGAUUAUCCGUUGAUAAAAGUAUUGGACUUUUAACUACGAAGAUAACAAACGAAAUUUUCGUUGAUAAAAGUGGUAGUUCUUUACCAAUGUAUAUUCCGUUCCUAAUGUUAUUGUUUAAUAUACAUACCAUUUACCAAAAGUAUUUCCGUAGGUGACGUAAUUCAACUUUUUUUCCUAAAAAUUGUAUCAAUCUUUCACCUUCGAUUUUUCAUGGUAAAGAGUAGUUCAUAUUAAAAACGGAGUUGCCGUUGCUAAUAUUAAUCAAUUUCAAACGAAUUCUUAUCCCACAUUGGAACUUCCUAACAAAGUCCUUGGAGUUGCCAUCUAUAAAUUUUUGGUCCAAUAAAUGGUUAAAUGAUUUUUGGGCCUUUCAACUUAGUUAGCUAAAAGUUAUGAAAAUUUUAAUUAUUAAAUAAAUAAUAAUAAAUUAAUAAAAAAUAAAUAAUUUUUUUACCACGUCUUACACCUAUGCUGCUAUUUACAACACUAAUUUUACCAAUUGUAAUUGUAGACAUUUAACAACAAAUAGCCAGACGGUAAUGNNN
rnacentral:lncRNA from 1 species